AGAGAGAGAGAAUUCUGAGACCAGAAGCUUCGUUCUUGUCUUCUCCUUCCUCUGCCUCACCGCGUCGUCGGCACUGGAUCAUCAGAGUCCCGUCCGCCAUUGCCGAGGUGUUUGGGCGACCUUCUUCCUUCCUUCCUUCUUCUGCACCUCUGUUUUACAGAAGGCUCCAGAAACCACCGACAAAAUGAGAGAACUUUGGUCUUCCUCCACCUACUUCUUCUAUCAUAAGCGUCGCCGGCGAGGGUGGUAAGAAAUCCAUUCGUCGCCGUUCUUUCUUGUCUGCUUCUUUGGAGUAUAACUGUUUAGGAUUUCAGUAAUCAUCCUUCAUGUCCCUGUUCGACGUCCCCUGUCGGUGUAUGUGUCGGAGGUUGUGUGAGGAGCUUGGUCGUUGGAGAAGCUUGUGGUGCUGCUGUUAUAUGUUACCGUCAGCCUCUCAUUUGCCUUCCUCAUUGCAGCUAUGUCUGAAUCCCCUCCACCCCUGUUCAAUAUUGUGCAAUCCUUUUUCUCUCCUUGCUUUUUCUGCUACUGAUUGAAGGGUGUUAGAAGAAAGAGGACUUGACUUUAAAGAGUGAAUUUGCACUUGGGGACUCUACGGAUUUAUUAGUUGACGAUGAACCUCCUGCCGAUCAUUGGAAGGCUUGCUACUGUACUAGGUGAAUAUUUAUUUUAAGAAUGUCUUUUCUUUUGAUGUAUAUUUUCAAUUAUGUGUUUUAUGUUGAGACAAUAAUUUAGGUGCUCCACAUUAACUAUAGAUGUACUUAUGGUUUGGAAAUUUAUAUAGAUUUCCUGUUGUCGAGAAACAAAGUUUUGUAUUAUUAAUUUAUUUGAAAAUAGUUAUUGUAGAGAUCUGAGGUGUCUUAUUUACAAAGGAAGUUCUACGAAAAUCCCUGCAUCGAGUUUAGUAUCUUUUGUUUGCAUGGAAAAAAUGUUACUAUGAUUUCCAACCCUAUUUCAAAUAAAUUAAGAUGUUAAAUUAGAAUUUUCUUGCUAAAGGCUUAAAGGAUGUAUGUUUGUGCAUAUAUCCUGUGCCAAUCACAUCUAAUUUUUAGGGUGUGAUAGUUUAAUUACUUACCCUUGUAAACUGUGUGUCCACAUUUGUUUUGGUGACAUAAGUCGUGUUUGGUUAUUUACCUUCGUGGAUUGUGUGCCCACGUUUGUGAAUUGUUCUGAUAAAUUUCCAAAAGUAUAAAUUUUUAAUUAAUUGAUUGAUAAUUUUACACUAAUGUUUUUUAAUUAGAAAAUUGUAUUAUUUUUAUUUAUGUAUUUAUUUAAUUAUUUUGACUUGUCAAUAUCAAAUAUUAAAGCUACUUUAUCGUUAUAGAUUUAAAGUUUCUUGAUAUUGAAAUCAUAUAAAACUUGUAUUCUGAGCUUACAAAUUUGUUUACAUUAAACUGUUUUCUCUUUAAGUUAUGCAUAUGUUAUAGUUUAUUCAUUUUGAAUUUGCAAAACAUUAUGGUUAGAACAUUAUUUACUGAAAAAUAUUUUUGGUCUCAUAUAUCUUGUACCUCUGUCAGAUCAUUCAAGGCAUUUUGCUACAGGAUUGAAGUUGUGAUGUCAUUUUGGUUAAUCUGUAUUUUUUUUAUGUAAAAUUUUAAUCUAUAUAUUGUACUUUUAUAAAUAAUGUUACAAGUGCUCUACAUAGGCUAUAUUGAGGGUCUUUAUUUUGUAAAUAUUCUAUUUAUUAGUUAGAAGGAGCUAAGCUCCUAGAUGUUACAAUAUUUCUUUAAAAAAAUUGUAUUAUAAAAUUUUAGGGAAAUCCUAUUCUCAAGGGAGAUUCUACCAAAAUUUUGACAAAAAUAUUAAGGUUUUAUUUAAAUGAGAAGUAUUUUUAAAAUGAAACAUUUUUUAAAUUAGGCUUAAGGGAUGUGUAUUUAGAUGCAUAUUCUGUGACAGUCACUCUCAUAUUUUGGGGUGUGACAAGAUGAUUAUUUUAUCUUAUAGAGAUGCUGUUGAAUGCAAUUGAUUAGUAUAAGUGAAUUAAAAUGAAAACUUAAUUAAAAAUGUAUAAGUCAAUUGUUCAAUUUUUUCUUUUGAAGACAUUUUUUAUCCUACAAUUUUAUCAUUAAUUUAUUGGUUCUAUAUUUAAAUUUGAACUUUUAACAAUUUCAUGAAAAAUAAGCCUAUAGAUCAAAAGUGAUUUUCUUUUAAUCAUAUCUUCUUUGAAUUGGUGUUAUUUCCACUAUUGAAGCUAUUAGAAUUGUCAAAUUUAAACAAUUUGAUUUCAUUUAUAUGGGAUGAUUGGCUUCUAGACAGCUCAUUUAGUAACUUGAAAGAACUGGUCGUGUGUGGCUUUGUGAAAUUAAUGCCCUUCCAAGUUCUAAAAUGCUUACACAAUCAAGAAGAACUAAAAGUGAGAGAUUGUAAGGAGUUGGAGAUGGUGUUUGGUUUAGAAGCUUUGAAUGAUUGUAAAGAGAGACAGGCAUCAUCGAUAGUUGUGCCAUUGAAAAAGUUAAAGCUACGAUACUUGCCAAAAUUGAAGAAUGUGUGGAGCAUCACCACCAAGAAAAUGUCUCCUUCCAAAGUCUAAGGCAGAUACAAGUUUAUUUUUGUGAAAGCUUCACAAGUAUGUUUCCUGCAUCUAUUGCUAAAGGCAUGCUUCAUCAUCUUGAGUAGCUUGACAUAUUGAAAUGUGGCGUACAAGUAAUUGUUGCAAAGGAUCAAGUUUCAAAGUCUGUUGAUGCUUCAUUUGUGUUUCCUAGGCUGACUUCUCUUGCCCUUUGUUUCCUUCCAAAUUUGAGCAACUUCUAUCCAUGGAGACACAAAUUAGAAGGGCCCCACCUUCAAUAGUUACAUGUUAGAAAUUGUGAUGAAUUAGAGAUAUUUUUUUUUAAAAAAAUCUCAAGUUCAUCAAAAAUACAUGGAGAAGGGAGCACACUAGACUCAAAAUAUCCUCUACACUCUUGCGACAAGGUUAAUUAUUCCCAAUCUGGAAGAGUUGCGAUUGGACGGAAAAGAAGUGGACAAGAUCAGGAGUGGGCAGUUUGCAAUGCACCGCUUUCCAAAAGUAAAAGGGCUUGGUCUAUAUGCUAAAAAAGCAACAACUUUGUUGUACAAAUCAUUAUUGUCCAGCUUCCCAAAUUAAGAGCAUCUCACAAUAGGCAGUGAGUUUAAGGGGAUAUUGUCAAGUAAGGAUCCUUUUGGAGGGGACCAUGUUGCUACACUUGUUGUUCCCUUUCUAAAAUUAACUCUCCAAGAUAUUUCCAAUAUGAUAAGCA